UACGUGAUAACGUGAUGACGUAACGCGUGCGAGAGGUGGGAGUGUCCGGAGGAACGGUGAGCGGGCAGAGAGGCGUGGAGGAAGGUAGCCACGCCGAAUAUGUUUGGCGGCUGUUUGGCGGCUGUUUGACGGCUGGGAGAAAACGCUGCUGUGACAGAAGCUGAGAAGGAGAAUACUAAGCAUUCAAGCUCUGGUUGAGCUGCACUUAAGUUACAUUCCGCUCAAUAAAUCAAAGCGCGGAAAAAAAAAAUCGAUGAAAGAGAAAAACGGAAAUAUAAACGGGAAAAAAUUUUGUUUUCGAAAUAUCCCUAUGAGCUGCUGGCAUACUGAAAAGCCAGACAAAGACAGAUAAAAAGUAAAGGAGGACUUCUUUAUAAUAAUGAGAUGGAAGCUGCAAAUCUUGUGAGUAUCUCAAAGUAAAUUUCUGCCUAACCUCUUG